ACUGUGCUAAGUACGUCGAGUAUGUCAGCUCAUCCAGCCCUCCCAGGACCUGACACUUGUGGUCUCAGAGGGCAGGACGCUGCGGGACAGGGGCCGUCACUGCUGCUCUAGUCAUCCGGGCAGGCUCUUCCCAAACCUGUGUGACCGCCCGGCCUUGUUGCCCUUCGUGAUGGAACUUUUAAUGUCCGCCAAAUUAAACAAAAACAAAUCUGCUUGAUGCUGAGUAUCUUGUAUGCUGGAUGGUGUGCUGUUUGGCAUUGGCUUCUGGAAAACAACAUUCCAUCUUGCUCCUCUGAAGUUUGACCAACUGUCUCCACACCGCGGCCUUGGCCUCCAGUCAGGAGUCGUGUUCAUUUCCCGUCCGUUAAUUUCCACUUGGAGCAACUUUCAGUCAGUUUCUUCCUGGAAUGGCUAAAACAUGUGUGGCGGCCCUGUGCCCUGCAGCCUUUGACGUACCUGUGAGAGCUGAUGUGGAAAGUGGGGCGGGAAGGAGCUCGGUCAGCGGCUGCAGACCCUGGAGGGCUUCCGACCCAGGACGGAGGUCAGCGCGUGAUCCGAGCCCCUGUUUAGGGCAGACCUGGCCCAGAUUCGCCUCCACGGAAAGGCUCCUCAGUGGC